AUGGAUCAGGCUCCCCAUGGCGCCGCCGCUUCGCUAGACCUGUCCCUCUCGCUUGCCCCCAUGAGACCACCACCACCAUCAGCACCCCGAUCCUCCUUCUUUUGGGCUGAAGGAGACGCCGCUGCCGGCCACGGCGGCCAUGGUGGCCGUGACGGCGAAGCGAGAUCGAGGCGGCUGUUCUCGUGCCUCUUCUGCGACAAGAAGUUCCUCAAGUCGCAGGCGUUGGGGGGCCACCAGAAUGUGCACAAGAAGGAGCGGGCCGGCAGCUGGAACCCCCACCUCUACCUCCAAUCCGACGACGGCGACCAGCCGGCCGCGGCGGCGGCAAAGGAGCCGGCGAGAUGGCCAACCGCGCGCCAUGGCAACGACGGCGAGAAGCAGAUGCAGCAGCAGCAGCAGCUUGAUCUCAACCUCAAGCUUUAA
rnacentral:rRNA from 1 species